CCUACGUGAGGCAGCAGUGGGGAAUAUUGCACAAUGGGGGAAACCCUGAUGCAGCGACGCCGCGUGAGUGAAGAAGUAAUUCGUUAUGUAAAGCUCUAUCAGCAGGGAAGAAAAUGACGGUACCUGAGUAAGAAGCCCCGGCUAACUACGUGCCAGCAGCCGCGGUAAUACGUAGGGGGCAAGCGUUAUCCGGAUUUACUGGGUGUAAAGGGAGCGUAGACGGCAGUGCAAGUCUGGAGUGAAAGGCGGGGGCUCAACCCCCGGACUGCUCUGGAAACUGUACGGCUGGAGUGCAGGAGAGGUAAGUGGAAUUCCUAGUGUAGCGGUGAAAUGCGUAGAUAUUAGGAGGAACACCAGUGGCGAAGGCGGCUUACUGGACUGUAACUGACGUUGAGGCUCGGAAGCGUGGGGAGCAAACAGGAUUAGAUACCCCAGUAGUC
rnacentral:rRNA from 1 species